rnacentral:tRNA from 1 species
AAAGGGAGACCUAAUUCAGGUAGGAGACGAAAAAAAAGUAGUCGCUGCCAAGAAUCAAUCCCAAAAGGUCGGAGCGAGGCGAAAUUGGCUUUCAAACUAGGUUCUGGGUUCAAACAAGACCUGAAUCAGGAACAAGGGCUAUUAGCUCAGGUGGUUAGAGCGCACCCCUGAUAAGGGUGAGGUCCCUGGUUCGAGUCCAGGAUGGCCCACCUGCACAGGUGGCAAAAACAAGAGAAGCGAGGAAUCAGCACCUUAUCUUACUGACAUAGUAAGAGAGAAUGCUGGCUCUGAGUAAAGAGUCCAGAGGAACCUUGAAAACUGCAUAGAGCUAGGUGAAAAAGCCAAAAAAGAAGACCGCAAG